rnacentral:lncRNA from 1 species
ACAAUACUCGUCCUUGUUUUGUGUGAUGCACGGUGACACUUCCUGUUCUGUUUCUUCUUCCGUACUGGCUGCAAACUCACGGGAUUGCCUCCUGGGCCCGCCCAUGACCCACAGCCUGUAUCAGAGGCUCCUCUUGGAAGGGCCGGGUCCUCCACGCGGCAUCCGACAUGGGACAUUUCAGUGCACACCCGGCUACUCAUAUUGACUCAUGAAGGAGGCUCAAAACCAAUUGCAUAAACCUCACCCACACAGGUGACAACCUUCAGUGUGAAGACGCUCACGGCCGCAGUGUUUAUAAGAGGGACGGACCGGAGACGACCUGGGCGUCCACUAGCGGGGGAGGCAGAGUAUACUGGGGAUGUUUGCCUCGGAAUGCCAUGCAGCCCCUAAGACCAUGGUUAGAAAUGGGUCACAAACAUGGAGGAAAGCUCCCAACACACUGUCGAGUGGAGAACUCUGAAGAAGGACGUGUACCCGGGGACGAUGCUGCGGCCCAGGUGCCCGGAGCGGCGCCUGGUGCACGGGAAACAUUCACUACGCGUUUGCUGAGUGAAUAAGUGAACAGUACACGGGGGAGACUGAAGGAAGCACACGCAGAGCCCCUGCGAGCGGAUCUCCUUUCUGGUCACUUCUAAUCCCCCAUUUCCUCUGUCUGCAGCACUGGUCUCACUCUGUACAGUUCCGUCUUUCUCUGUCCCUCUCGGCCGUGUGUUUCCUCCCCUGAACACAGGCUGCAUGAGUGUGCAAAUCUCAUCUGUCUUCUUGUGACCCAACCUGGAGCUCCACACUGGGCCCAAAGAAUCUUUGUUGAAUGAAUGUCUGACGGACGGACGGAUGCCGGUAUCUGAAGGGAGCCAAGCUCCUUCUGGAGAACAAGAGACCCGUCCACAGGACCCUGAGGCUGGAAGGAAGAGCUCCCUCGACACGCAGCCACAUGGAGAAGUGAUGGCCCCACGAUGCACCUCCGCGCGCCCAGGCCAGGCUGUCCUUUCCUGACCCCGAGAUCGCCGUGCCAAGGGCCGGUAUUAGCAAGCCACACGGAUUGUGUCAGGACGCGGGGGCCAUGUGACGCCUCAGCGAAUCGACGGUGGCUGAGAAAGAAGAGCUGUGCGAAGGGUGGACCAGCGGGCAGACUGGCGCUCGCCCUGGAGCGGACAUAGCGUCCUGUGGCGGGGGUCGAGGUAAGUGGCGGCUUCCUCUUCUCUCUGGAGUUUGAUUUGGCUUCACAUCCUGCCUUCUUUCACUGAUGCUUACUGUCGCAGGCUACAUUGUGCAUGGGUUUGUGUGACACCAAUGUUGGUGCAUGGUUAGUAUCGAGCUGAUGUUGGUGCAUGGGCUAGUAUUUCACCAAUGUCAGUGCAUGGUUAGUAUUGAGAUCAUAUGGGUGCCUGGGUUAGUUUUGCAUUGACGGUGGUGCAUGGUUACUAUCGAGCUGACGUUGGUACGUGGUUGCUAGUGCACCAAAGUUGGUGCACGGUUAGUAUUGAGAUCAUAUUGGUGCACAGGUUCAUUUUGUGUUGACAUGGUUACUAUCGAGCUGACGUUGGUGUGUGGCUAGUAUUGCACCAAUGUUGGUGCCUGGUUAGUGCUGAGAUGCUAUUGAUGCAUGGGUGUGUUUUGUGUUGACAUGGUUACUAUUGAGCUGAUGUUGGUGCAUGGUUAGUAUUGCACCAAUGUCAGUGCAUGGUUAGUAUUGAGAUGAUAUUGGUGCAUAGGUGUGUUUUGUGUUGACAUGAUUACUAUCAAGCUGACGUUGGUGCAUGGUUAGUAUUGAGAUGAUGUUGGUGCACGGGUGUGUUUUGUGUUGACAUGGUUACUAUCGAGCUGACGUUGGUGCACGGUUUGGGGUGGGUGUGGAUAAAGAGAUGUGAUCCGGACAUUUGAGCAUUUCUCUCAAUGGACUGAGGCAGGGAAAUCGUCUUCCGCCAGGGCCACGCGUUGGUGGGAAUCGGCUUGUGGGGUGGUGCUGGCUGUGUCACGGG